GCGGGAGUGGCGAAAUUGGUAGACGCACCAGAUUUAGGUUCUGGCGCCGCAAGGUGUGCGAGUUCAAGUCUCGCUUCCCGCACCA
rnacentral:tRNA from 1 species